rnacentral:rRNA from 1 species
AUUGAACGCUGGCGGCAUGCCUUACACAUGCAAGUCGAACGGUAACGGGCCUUCGGGUGCCGACGAGUGGCGAACGGGUGAGUAAUGUAUCGGAACGUACCUUUCAGUGGGAUAACGUAGCGAAAGUUACGCUAAUACCGCAUAUUCUGUGAGCAGGAAAGCAGGGGAUCGCAAGACCUUGCGCUGAUGGAGCGGCCGAUAUCAGAUUAGCUAGUUGGUGAGGUAAAGGCUCACCAAGGCGACGAUCUGUAGCGGGUCUGAGAGGAUGAUCCGCCACACUGGAACUGAGACACGGUCCAGACUCCUACGGGAGGCAGCAGUGGGGAAUUUUGGACAAUGGGGGCAACCCUGAUCCAGCCAUGCCGCGUGAGUGAAGAAGGCCUUCGGGUUGUAAAGCUCUUUCGGCCGGGAAGAAAUCGUAUCAGCUAAUACCUGGUGCGGAUGACGGUACCGGCAUAAGAAGCACCGGCUAACUACGUGCCAGCAGCCGCCGUAAAAC